rfam:Plesiocystis pacifica SIR-1 1103186006202, whole genome shotgun sequence.
CGGGAUGUAGCGCAGUGGAAGCGCGCCUGCACGGGACGCAGGAGGUCGCUGGUUCGAUUCCAGUCAUCCCGA